GCAGUGGUUGUUCAGUGGUAGGGUUUUUGCCUUCCAUGUGGAAGACCCGGGUUUGAUUCCCAGCCAAGGCA
rnacentral:tRNA from 1 species